GGAGCGCCCUCGGCGGGCGCGGCGGCCUCACCCGGCCCGGCCCCUCAGACUUCUGCAGCUGCGGCGGCCCCCGGAGUGGGUCUACCCCGGGGCCUCAGGGGCAGUUCUCGGCCCACCCCGCGGGGAACCAGUAGGGAAACCGAGGCCCUCCCAAGCACGGAGUAAGGGCGGCCCUCUCCAAUUCGGCAGCCGGAUGCCAGCCAGGACUGUACCGUGUCCUUGGCCUGGGAAUUCCCCGGGCACCCGGCCCGCAGACCGAUGCCCCCAGUUCUGAGGACGUAUAGGUGUAGCUGCUCUGGAUCUACUUUUAUCGAUUCCCAGAGGUCUCGACACUCCACCCAGUUUGCGGCCCGCCUUCCUGGAGCCAGUAAUCCAUCCAACUGAAUACCUGCCAGACCCUUUGCUACGUGCUGGAGAUGCAGUGAGAGCAAAUUCAGAGCGGUGCUCUAAUGAACUUUACAGUCGUGAAUACUUAAUUGCUCAAGGGUAACUUUUCAAAGUUGACAACUUUUAAUAAAGGCCCUGAGUGCUAGGACCAUGAAUAAGCAAGAGACCUGAUCCAGACUUGGAGGUCAGGGAAAUGAUGCUGGAGAGCAGAGAGAUGAACAAGAGUUAAUUACAUGAAAAAGAGUAGGGCACUGCAAGAGAGCCUGGCCUGGUGAGAGAACUGCAAGAUCUGUAUGACAGAUCCUAAAGUGGGGGACAGUGGGGGAGAUGAGGCUGCAAAGAUCACCAAGAACAGUAGGUCAUGGAAGGAGUUGUGGUCUGGACCCUAAAAGGAAUGGGGAGCCACUGAAGGAUUUUAACCAGGUGUAUCCAAAAGAUGUUGGGAGGAGCCAAACUGGAUGUGUCAAGAGGAGAUGAGCAGGACUCCUGGAGAAAUGACAGUCCCUUGCUGCUGCGUUUAAUUGGAGAGGAUCUCAGAGACCCGAGAUUAUAAUUAUGACACGUUAAAUGCCGAGCUCUUCAAAAGUCUGCCCUUGCCCUCGCUGUCACCCUGAACAGCUCUGAGAACCCAAACCCUGCAGCCCCCAGAGUGUGCCCUGGGUCUCUCAGCCAGGCCUCACCUGGGAAAUCUGAGUGAUGGUGACGUGCAGGCAGCAGGAAGACACACAGUAAACCUAGGAGCCUGUGAUGAGCUCAGGAGAGUUUAAGGCCCCCUUGGAAACCACAUGUUGGAGAUGGCAGAGCCACAAGGUGGAAGGAUCCCGGUCCCUAAAUCAUCACUUGGAGGACACACACCACUGAUCAGGAACACCCACGUGAGUUGUUUGUGAACAAGAAAUCAGCUAUAUUGUCUGAGCCAAUAUACAUUUGGGGAUUUGUUUGUUAUAGCAUCUAGCAUUAUCCUAACUAAUACCGGGUUUAAGAAAAUUGUUGGUUGUUCAGAUGAUUCUGAUGCGGCCAGACUGGAGAAUCAAUUGAAGCCUCUCGGGACAGAAAGUCUUUGUUGAGGUGCAAGAGCAGGAGUGGAGAGCAGACUGAAAAUAUCUAGAAAGCAGGAGGUCAAGGCCUCUGGUAGAAUUCAGGAGGCUAACAUUUCAGAGAGGGGCUAUCCUGCAGUGUGGCAAGAGCCAAUGGGAAAAGGUAAGGAACAUUAAGCAGGUCCGGGAACUGUGAUGCUGGGGGUCAGGAAUCAUGUUGGAUGGUUAGUCCACUUGGAAAUUGUGGUCUGUGACGAAGCAGGACAUGGGGUGGAGAGAGAGUGUCAGAGGUCUGGCCACUGUCUUGCAACCAGGGCAAUGGGAAGAAGUGCUUUAGUUAAAAACUAGACUAACCAUCAGGACUGCCAUCACUAAGCCCUGUCAGCUGCCAUGGCUGAAUGGAUCUGAGCAGGGUGUCUCAUCAUUGGUGAGGAUUUGUUCAUUAGGCCACAGAGAUGCACACCCGAAAGCUGGUCCAUGAAAAGGAGCACCUGUAAAUGCUGAGGCAGGCUAACUGCAUCCAGCCACAGAAACAGCCAGACCCACAGCAAGAGUGCUUUCUUCAGUUGGUAGAGAAGCUUGGCACUCUCCAAAUUGCUUAUUUACACGUCUGUUUGAGCCUCAUGGACAUCCCAUAUUAAAGACAGUGUCCCUCUGUGCCAGGUAAGGUCACCAAAGUGUUAAAUAAAUGAUAGCACUCAGAAGGGAGUGGAGCCAAGGUCUCCUGAUCCUUGGCCAGUGGUCCUCAUUAUAAAAUCCCUUUUACAGACAUUUUUAGACAUUAACUACCCAUCAUCUUGGGAAGAUUUAGGCCUCAACACACCCCUGGCAGCAGGAAUGACGGGGAUGGCCUCCAAAGGCACUUCCAGCUAGCAAUUCUUAAAAGAGUUUCUGAAUGAGCAGUUCCAAAAUAAGACUAGGAAUAGGAAUGACAGAAAACUCAAAAUAAUAGUUGUGAAAAUAAGAGAAGUUUAUGUCUCUUAAAAAAGAGUCUGAUGUAAAAAAAAAAAAAAAAAGUCUGAUGUAAAUGUAAGGGCUGCUAUGGCCCUCCACAAUUUCAGAGGGUCAAGGCUCCUUCUAUUUUGUUUUUUUUCCUGUAUUGUUGUGUAACAAAUUACCGCAAAACUCAGUGGCUUAUAACAACAAUAAGCUUUUCUUACCUCACACUUUCUGUGCGUCAGGAAUUCAGGAGUAAUUUUGCUAGGUGAUUCUGGCUUAAGCUCUCUCAUAAGGUUGCAGUCAGGAUGUCAGAAUGGAGCUGUGGUCACUUGAUGGCUUGAAUGGCACUGCAACAUUGGUUCUGGCUGAUGGCAGGAAGCCUCAGUUCCUCACCACCUAUAAUCCUCCAUAGGUUGCUUGAGUGUGCUUACAACAUGGCAGCUGGCUUCCACUAGCCUGGAGCAAGUGCAGAAGCUGCAGUGUCCUUUAUGAAGUAGUCUCAGAAAUCACACUAUCAUUUCUGCAAUAUCCUGUCGGUUACACGGGUCAGUCCUGUUGAAUACGGGAGAGAAUGAAACAAGGACCUUCCAGUAGUUGAGAAUUACUGGAGGCCAUCUUGGAAGUUGGGCUACCAUAUCUGCCAUCUUCAGAGAGUGGCUUCAUCCCAAUAUUCUAAUAUGGCUGCUCUAACUCCAGCUGUCACAUCACAGAAGGUACUUUCUGGUUGGCAUGAAAAAAGAAGAAAGGAAGAAGGCAUGCCUUUCAAGAAGUUGCAUACACUAUCCUACUUAUAGCUUAUUGACCAAAACAGUCACAUAGCUGGAAAGGCGGCUGGGAAAUUUAGUAUUUAUUUUGGAUGCCAUGUACUCAGCUAGACCAGAUACUGGGGGACACUUGGCAGUCUCUGACACAUCAGCAAUGUUCCUGUGUAUAUUUCAAAGGAUGGUGUGGGGAGGAGAGCACAGAGGACAUCACUAUCUUGGGUUACUGACCUGGCUAAGGACUUCUGACCCAUCUUGUCUGGGAAACGUGUGUGUGUGUGUGUGUGUGUGUGUGUGUGUGUGUGUGUGUGGCAGGGACAGGGGAGGAGUGCAGAUAAGUGCUUUAUCCUGUAAUUAGUGAAUCUCAGUGUCAAGAGAAAAUAGUCCUUAGAAGAACUCAGGAGACAAAUGAACAUUAAAAACAGACUGAGUCCUAGAAACCCAGCCAAGAGUGGUCCCAAGAAUUAAGAUGAUCCAGAAAAUGAGAAUACCAUCACAGGAGACACUGUGAGAGCAGCCUCACUCUGCACCCAGACAUGCAGGUUUAAAUAAAUUCUAGGUAGCCCAACUUAUGACCCCAAUGCAGAAGCCCAGAUGGGCAACUCUACCAGCUGUGUUUUUAAAAGAUCGCAUGAUUCCUGAUCAAUGAACCAAAGAGACCAAAUGCAAAAGUGUUUAGAGCUGAGCUGCAGAUUUGCCCAGAGACCUGUUAGAGACCAGAGCCAAGGCUUGAGCAGCCAGCUGGGUGCUGACUCAAGCUGGGAGUGAGCCCGACAUUGGAGCCUAGCUAAGCAGAAGAUGAGCCAUCAGCCAGCCAGAGAAUUCUAAGGCUUGAGAAGCCCACAGAAAAGCUGCCCUGGCAGAAGGAGGGCAAGGCUCUGACUUGGCUGAGUGGCUGGUGACAGAGGGCACUGUCAUCCUAGAGGAAUGCAAAGUCUGGAGCAAGAGGCCUACAGCUGGGGCAUCCAAGGGGGCAGCUGGUACUGCCAAGGCCCCUGUGGCAGGAGCUGGCUUUCUCUUCAUUGCCAAGGCCUGCCUAGACCUUGGAUCCUUAUCUCGAGGGUGGAAGAGGUGGACUGAGGAUUCGGAGGUGCUCGCUUCAUGGAGGGUGACUACAGUCUCCUACCUGCCUGGCUAGUCUCGUGUGCCCUGCCCAUAGCCCAAGCUGGAUAACGUCCUGGGUCCUGAGUCCACACCAGGCCAUCUCCAGAUGGGGUAUCAGGACACCCUGGGUAGGCAGCAUGCUCACUCACCCGGGUCACAACCCAUGACCCUUAUUGUACGUGGGUUGUCAAUCAUCACCACAUUGCUGUGCACAAGGGUCCACCUCCAGAGCAGUAAGGGAUCACCACAGCUCCAGCCUUCCUCACUCUGCCUUGGCCCGAGUGCCAAGGUCACCGAGAAUUUGGGGGACCUCUACAGACUGCUAGUUUGAGGACCCUUUCAAGAAAGACACCUCCAGGUGUGGCUGACAUCGGGCUCCAACCUCAGGUGGGGGUAGGGGGGUGUUAGAAGCUAAGGGUGGGCUGGUAGGGGGUAGUUAGGAAGGGUAGAGCGUCCCAAAGUGGCCUGGAAUUGGCUUGGGAAAUCCAGGACUUUGCUUUGUGGCUCUGUUGCAGCAAUGCUUAGCGAGCACCUGCUCAAUGAGGCAGACACUUGGCUACCCCCUGGGUACACAGAGCAGAGGAAGGCUCAUAUGACAUCACACCAGACCAUAAGUAAAGCAAAACAGCAGAGGGUGCAAUAUGCAGUGAUAGGUUAAAUACAAGACACAGAAACAAUGGAGGAGGGGAAUGUGCUGGUAGAGUGGUAAAGGGAAGCUUCACUUCACAGAAGAGGUGGUACCUGCAAGAAAGAACAGGAGUUCCUCAGCCACGAUGGGGCCAGGUGAGGAAGGGAAUCUAGGCAAAGGGAACAGCAAGCCCCAGAGCUCUUAGCUGUGAGACCACCAGCGGUAGAGGAAGAGAUUUUCCUUGCCUGAUGUGUUCAUUAGACUCUGAAAUUUCUGGGCCCUUUCAAGGUGCAGUAGCCUUGAUCUCUUUCCAAUAAACAACUCAGAGGAGUCAGAGAGGGGAGAAGAUGCUCCCUCCCUGCUCGUUGGGUUUUCUUUCAACUUUGAGUCCUUGGUAGCUGGUCAUAACAGGGCGGGGGAACCAUAAUUAUGAAGAGGAGAAGGGUUCUUUGAUCUUGAAGAACCUGCCCAAGGCCCAGUCCGUCUCUAUGUAGGUCCUCAAGUGACCUUGGAUGGCCCCUUAGGCAUGACUGUCCCCAGCAGCCUCUGUGGGGCAGGAGGCAGGGCUGGGAGGUGCACUGGGUGGGGCACUCUAACCUACCCUCCCUGCUGUCAGACCCAGUCUGUUGAGGUAUCUGGCCCUCUCUGGAACCCUUGGGAACCCCCAGCAUUGCCAAAGCACCGUCCUGCAUCUUGCAGGUGGCCCUACAGUGUGAGAAUCGUCAUCUGGCGCAUGCUGACACAUCCUACUAACUUUUUUGGUGGUGUACAGGCUUGCUUUUCCUCUAGGACCCAGGAAAACGUGAUAUGCAAAUGAAUCACCAGGUGACCCCAAAUCAAACAGCUGCUCUGGAGUUCUUCUGUGAAGGCAAAAGGAACUGGAGGCCCCAAGAGGUCCACCUCCUUUCUGGGUCAAGGUGGGCAAGUGAGACUGAACCAGAGUUACACUGGGAUGUCACCCUGUCUCUGGCUACGGGUGGACCAGGAACCUCAGGCAGAGCCGCCAGUGCCCAGCGAGGCUUUGGGAGGAUUUGUGGUGCAGGUGGAGGGUGGGUCAUCAGUGCUGAGGUCCUGGCCAGCCCAGCUCAUUCAUCCAGGAACCCCUUUCCCCUGACUGUUGCUCUUCUCACUGGGAUAUGCAAACAGCCUCAUGGCAGGCCUGGCCUUUCUCUCACCUAUGCCAGCUCCAGCCCCAAGGCCUAGCUCAGGUCACAUCUCUCUGGUUCAAAAACCCCUUAAUAUAAACUCCUUGGUCUGGCAUCCAAGGCCCUACCCACUACAGUACUAACUCACCUCUCACCAGUCUUCCAUAAACUCCUCCUCCAGCCCAGUGUGUGCCCAUCCUUUUUGCCCUCUUCCCCUAAAGCUCUCUCAUCUUUGAGCCCUGGAUCUUGCCUUUACGGGGUCCAAAGGUCCCCUUGCCACUGCUGCCCUCCUGACCAGGCCCAGCUCCAGUGCCGUCUCACCUAUCAAGUCUUCCUUGUCACCCUCUGCCCUCCGACCCUAUGGCCUACAAGAUGGAACUUUUUACUAGAUUUGUAUCUUUAAUUAUAGGAGUGAUACAUGCUUGUAAAAACAUCCCCACAUUAUAGAAGCAUACACAGUAAAAUGACUGUGUCAUCCCAGCUCUCCUUUCCCUAGAACUCACCCCAGUCAACAGUCAGGCGUGCACAUGGGUGCCCGUUUUACACAACAGGAGAGGGGACCCUUGAGAACUUUCCAUCACCACUUGACAUGGCGGUGACAGGGUGGUGGUGGUGAGGAGCAGAGUUGGUGACUUGUGUUGACUUUGGAAAAAAUCACUGGCCUCGAGGUCAGUCUGUGGGGCCCCUUGAUUCCUUUCAAAGAACAGAGCCCCAGGGAGGCAUUUCUAGUUCACAGGAAGAUAUUCAUUCUGUUCACCCAAGAGCCAGAAACUCAAGUUCAAAAGGCAGCCAGGCUGCUUGAGAAUCCUCUUGGCCUAGCACAAACCCCACUAUAAGCCCGGGCUGAGCUGGGCGGAAAGUCAGGCAGCUUUAACGGCACGGUCACUCGGUCAGAUGGAGAGAUGCAGAGUUUGAACGCUGGCCUGCCUUUCUCCAACCUGGGCCCUUGCCUGGCCCCUGUAGGUCCAAUGUUCUGGCUGGUCAGCCUGGAGCCCUCUACUCGCCGUGUGCCCUGCUGGCGAAGCAGUGAGUCCCCUUACAGCAUGGCUCAGGAGAAUAAUCUGCCCAAGGGACUACUCACCCUCCUUAGAGUAGGAACUAGAGGAAGAAGCGGGGCUGUGCUGGCAUCUCCUUCUCCAGAGGUUCCAGCCCACGUUUCUAGGCAGUUUGAGCAACAGGGGAUAGAUGUCUUCCCUAAAUAACCCAAGGUACCACAUCUCUCCCCCACACUCCAAUUCAAAUAAAAUACUUAAGGAAGAGAAGGGACUGCGGUACACCAAGGUGGGAACACCUAACCCCAAUUGAGAGAUGUCAGGGAAGGCUCCCAGGUAUUGGCAUAUACACUGACACUUAAAAGAUAAGCAGGAUGUGGCCAGGUGAAGGUGAGAACAGCAUUCCACACAGAAGGAACACCACUGGUAAAGGCCUAACGGUGAGAGGGAGCAUGACUUUGGAGAAACUGGAAAUUCACUGUGGCUGAGCCUAGUGUGUGAGGGGGACAUGGAGGGGGUGGGCUUGGAGAGGUCGACUGCUUGGGUGUGCAAACCUCAGGGCUUUGUCCCAGUGGCCAAAGGGAGUCAAGGGAAAGGUUUUAAGAAGAUAAGUGACAUUUCAGACAGAUGACUCAUAGACCAUGAGCUGAAGGUGAUAAGUUUGGAGGAAAUGAAUGCCUUUGGGUGAGCAAUAAUGGUAGCCUAGACUAGGGCAGGCACAGUGGAAGAUGAGAGGAAAUAGAAUUCAACACAGCAUGAGGGGGUGAGGAAGAGGAAGGCGACGCUGGCUUAGGUGUUGAGGAUAUAGAUCACAGAUCGACAGUCACAUUCAGCAAACAAUUAUUAACUGGACUGGACUCAGGGUGUAGGGAUCUGGAGGUCCCCACAUACUUUCAUACAUAAAGAAUUGAAGGCCAGUGGCCAGUGAUAAGCCCCAAUCUGGCCAUCUAGCCUGCUGACAUCAGUGCAGACCUGAUUGGGCACCCAAAUCUUGAUUCGGGCAUGUCAUGUACACACAGAGGCUGCUAGACACCAUAAUCCUGAAGCAGACACCCCAGGUCCACAGCCGACCACUCUCAGCCAACCCAGUGCUCCCCUGACCUACAAGCCAGAUAUCCCUAGUCAAUCAGCAACGCUCAGAAACUUUGUUUUUUGAAUACAGAACAGAGAUAGUUCAUGACCAACCCCAUUUCUCCCCCUUCCCCAACCUAGACUCUCUGCUGGAACAGUGUUUUGUUUGGCAGUAAAACUUUUCUACUCAGCACUCAAUCUUUGGCCUCUAGUCUUAACUCAAGCCAGAGGCCUCCACCAGCCACAGGGCCUGAAGGGGCUUCAACAAAGUUGGAUAUACCUUAUAUGUUCUUCGCACAAUUCUGAUAUUCUAUACUCUGUGGUCCUUCUUUGAGCUCUCCUGGGCACCUGCGGGUGCAGUGAGCAGCCCAAUAGGGGCUGAGGGUGUUAUCUGAGGCCAUGAAACAUGGGGGCAUUGGGCUGUGGGGUAUGGUGGAAGAAUACAGGUAGGAAUCCCAAACCCUUGGUUAUGGUCUCCAGCUCCCCAGGUGACCUUUCCUCUUUGGGCCUGUCCCUCCAGCCCCCAGGCCUUUGCACAUGCUGUUCCCUCUGCCUGGAAUACUCUUCCCCUUCCCCUUUGUCUGUUUGGCUCGUC